AGCAGCCGCGGUAAUUCCAGCUCCAAUAGCGUAUAUUAAAGUUGUUGCAGUUAAAAGCUCGUAGUUGAAUUUCGGGGUUAGUAGGUCGGUCGUGCCUCAGGUAUGUACUGGUCUCACUGAUUCCUCCUUCCUGAUGAACCGUAAUGCCAUUAAUUUGGUGUUGCGGGGAAACUGGACUGUUACUUUGAAAAAUUAGAGUGUUUAAAGCAGGCUAACGCUUGAAUACAUUAGCAUGGGAUAAUGAAAUAGGACGUUCGAUCCUAUUUUGUUGGUUUCUAGGAUUGACGUAAUGAUUAAUAGGGAUAGUUGGGGGCAUUAGUAUUCAAUUGUCAGAGGUGAAAUUCUUGGAUUUAUUGAAGACUAACUACUGCGAAAGCAUUUGCCAAGGAUGUUUUCAUUAAUCAAGAACGAAAGUUAGGGAUCGAAGACGAUCAGAUACCGUCGUAGUCU
rnacentral:rRNA from 1 species